AAUUCAGUGGGCUUGGCUGUGUUAUAUUAUAUACACCACUCUGUGUACCUUCUCCUGUUGCUUCCGACUGGGUGUGUAAUUCGCCCGGCGGAAGGGUAAAAAUAACCUCUGAGUAUUGAUGAAAUCUCUGUCUGAACCGAAUAGAAAGAAAAAUGUUAAAACUUUCAGCAACGGAUCUCUUGGUUCUCGCAUCGAUGAAGAACGCAGCCGAAUGCGAUAAGUAGUGUGAAUUGCAGAAUUCAGUGAAUCAUCGAAUCUUUGAACAUACAUUGCGCCUUCUGGUAUUCCGGGAGGCAUGCCUGUUCGAGAGUCAUUAACAACCAGGUCGAAUCCCUUUCUUUUCCGUGUCCGGAGGGUGGGGGGGAAUCGGUGUUGGUGGUGGAGGGAAUGGAGUUUGUUGAGCUUGCCCACUAUAUGUUUGGCAAAUCUCUCCUCGGCACUGAAAUUUGGUGGUGGGAUACUUGGGUUCCGGUGGGAUUUGAGGGGAUAUGAUGACCUUGAUGAUCUUCUUCAACUCGCUAUCUGAAAUUCGCACAUUGAGUUUCUUAACUCAGUCAGCUGUCCCCCAUCGAUAACAUCAAUCAUAUCCAAAGGUUGACCUCGGAUCAGGUAGGGAUCCCCGCUGAACUUAAGCAUAUCAAUAAGCGGAGGAAAAGAAACUUACCGGGAUUGCCUCAGUAACUGCGAGUGUAGUGGUA
rnacentral:rRNA from 1 species